rnacentral:pre_miRNA from 1 species
GCUGAUUCCCUGAGACCCUAACUUGUGACUAUUUAUUAGAGUUUCACAAGUUUUGUUCUCCGGUAUUGG